AUACGGAGGGUGCAAGCGUUGUUCGGAUUUACUGGGCGUAAAGCGCACGUAGGCGGACUGUCAAGUCGGGUGUGAAAACCAGUGGCUUAACCACUGGCCUGCACUCGAAACUGGUAGUCUUGAGUACCGGAGAGGAUGGCGGAAUUCCUGGUGUAGCGGUGAAAUGCGUAGAUAUCAGGAAGAACACCGGCGGCGAAGGCGGCCAUCUGGACGGAUACUGACGCUCAGGUGCGAAGGCUAGGGGAGCAAACAGGAUUAGAAACCCCUGUAGUCC
rnacentral:rRNA from 1 species